UCAGGCCUAACACAUGCAAGUCGAACGGCAGCACGGACUUCGGUCUGGUGGCGAGUGGCGAACGGGUGAGUAAUGUAUCGGAACGUGCCUAGUAGCGGGGGAUAACUACUCGAAAGAGUAGCUAAUGCCGCAUACGCCCUACGGGGGAAAGGGGGGGAUCGCAAGACCUCUCACUAUUAGAGCGGCCGAUAUCGGAUUAGCUAGUUGGUGAGGUAAAGGCUCACCAAGGCGACGAUCCGUAGCUGGUUUGAGAGGACGACCAGCCACACUGGGACUGAGACACGGCCCAGACUCCUACGGGAGGCAGCAGUGGGGAAUUUUGGACAAUGGGGGCAACCCUGAUCCAGCCAUUCCGCGUGUGCGAUGAAGGCCUUCGGGUUGUAAAGCAAGGUGGCAGGAAAGAAAUCGCACGGGUUAAUAACCCGUGUGGAUGAC
rnacentral:rRNA from 1 species